AAGAAUCAGAAAAUUUUAUUUGCUUCUGCUAGAUAUGCAAUAACUUUAACUGAAGACUUCAGUACCUUUUUGUCUCCAGGGGACAAAAAGACACAUCCUCACUGCCAGUUUGCGCUGGUCAGCACAACGUCUGUCUGCCGUCUGGCUGAGCUCUGCUGUCAGUACAGUUCCAGAGGGAUGAUAAGCUUUAGUUUUGUCCUGGGAGCCUCUCAUGGUGAAGUAUACUGCACAUAGAAGCAUCUGCAAGGACUUUCGGCUUAAAUGAGUCAAGCAGCACUAACAGUGAAAAACUAACCCGUCUAGCAGAGCACAAAGACCAUCUCACACUCACUGUGUGUGUCUAUACACACACACACCGACUCCCCACGCUGUGGCGGUGAGUUGACAAGCCCGUCUGCCAAACAACUCAAUUAAGCAGAAAAGAGGAGGAAAAAGAACUAGAAGGAACAUAGAAGAGAGGGAAAGCGAGAGAAAGAGAAAAGCCUGUUGCCUGUCAGCUGCGCGGCCGCCUCUGCGGGGCAAGAAGGGCAGGAACAUGUCGAAGAUAAAGAAGAGCAUACAAGAAAAAAGAGACAGGGGAGAAUAGAAAAGCUCUGUGAUGUGUUAACUGGCAUUCUGGACCCCAGGGCAGCGCUGGGGCACAGGUCAAACUAAGAGCCACUGGGUCAUUGCCAAGCCGACAGGGACACUCGGCCGUAACAGUGCGUCUCUCUCUGUGUGUGUGUGUGCAUGUGAGUGAUUGUAAGUAUAUGUGUAUUUGCUCUUCUCUUCAGACUGGAGUGAACUCUCUCUGGCCAAAGAGUAAGAGUGAGUGUGUGUUUAUAUUGCUCUUUACAGACCUUAUGAAAACUGAAACAUGCCUACUAAUGACAUUCAGACACAAAAUACAAUUUCUCUGAGAAAAAAAUAUUUAAACAAGUCAGUUUUAGGUUAACUUUAUUUCACUCAUUCGAUAACAACAUUUCAAAAUGAAGUGACUCAAAAUGAAGUAGCAAAUUUUUCAAUACAUUUAUCAAAAAGGAAAAGUUUUAAAUGAUAAAACUACCGUACACCGUGUGAACUUGAGGGAAACUGGCUUUAUAAGUUUACCUACACUGGUACACAAAUUAUCACUGGGGUGUAACCUUUUAAAAAGUACAGCUUUGUACCCAAUGGGUGCAUAUUAGUACCUCAAAGGUACAUAUCUGUAUCUAAAUGGUACAUGUUAGGACCGUUUAAAGGGUACCAUCCCAGUUUUGUAGUCUAAAAUUAUUUGUUUGCAUCACUUAAUUUAAUAUUUUAUUUUCUAGUCCAAUGCAAUUCAUAAAUAAGUCUGUUUGCAAAUUCUUUUUUAAGCAGGAGAAACUGCAAUCAAUAGGAAAACAUUAAGAGAAUAAAAUGGGCUGGCUGGAAAGGUUAAGAUUUUAGACCAUUGACAACUUUCAUUUCUAAUGUCUAUGUAAGUGUGUUUAACUGCUGGGUUUUGGUUUGUUCCCAUGCCACGCCACCCUGAAGCACUCACAAUCUUCAGGGGCAUUAGGGCAAUGAGACAACUGUUAUGGAAGCCAAUAAAACUGUGUCUGUGUGACAGAGAGAGGGUGUGAGAGGCUCAGGGGGUUAAUGGCACAGGUCAUUACCGGCCCAGUAAAGUGUGUGUACUGGGCUGAACUGGGCUGGAGAACAGUAGGCAGGAAUUUGGGGUGGAGAGAGAGGGAUGGAUGGAUGUGGGGACACAUGAGGUUUAAUGCAUGGGGAGAUAAAUAAGAGGGGUGGGAAGAAGAGAGGGGUCCUCUGUUCCACCCCUCCCUCUGACUUUCUUUCAUUCAGAUGUUCCAAUUUAUGGCUCAGCAUUUCCUAUCGUCAAGACUCCCCACGUUGAGAUGAACAAAUGAGUGAGAGAGAAAAUGAGAGAGGGGGGAUAGAGAAAAUAAUUUUAAAAACCUGAAGAUAAUUUUCAAGAGAUGUAAAAAGUCAUCAAUUGAAACUAAAAAGCUUUACACACAUGAGUGGAGACUUAUUCUGAAAUAUAAAAUCUAUUUGUACAUUUUCAUCUGAAGAACAUUCAAGUGGUGGUUGUCAGGUUGUUGCUAUGCAGUAGUUAAGGUGUUUGAAGAGGUUAUAAGUGCUUUGCUAUGAGGUUGCUAAGUGGUUGCUAUGGUUGCAACUGUAUGUACAGUAGUUGCUAAAGUUUUCUGAGUGGUUGUUGCUUGCUAGGAGGUUGCUAAAAUGUUCCAGUUGCUUUACUCUCCUGGUUAUGUUGGUAUCAUGCUGCUCUAGUAAUAAUAUAGUUUAAUUUAACAAUUUAAUAUGUUAAAAACAUGCACCAUAACUUUAUUGUAGUGAAUGUAUUAAUUUACGGGUAUGUUUAUAUUGUCUGUUGUUUCCUAUGUGGUGUGUUUUGUGUGUGUGUGCGUGAUAUAUCGAUGACUCUCUAACCUUUUAUAAGUCACAAAGAGGUUGGUGUUUUUUGGCCGAAUUGCAGGAAUAAAGAAGCCGGAGAGAAGAGAGAUAAAUCCUGGGACGUGUGCAGAGGCUCUGAAAGGAGGAGUGGAGAUCUUCUCACACUCAUCUUUUCACCCAAAGCACAGGAUAGAUGGCCCUCAAUCGGUCUUAAGCUUUUCCCUGACACACACACAACUAGACUUCUAUUGUUAUCAAAUAAAGCAAACUAUAAUUAUUUAAAACUGAACCAAACAUGAAUAACAUUUUUAUGUAUAUGUAAAAACAGGACAAAAUGAAUAUAUCUUUUUUAAAUUGGCCCUCACAGACCCCACACAUUUGUUUAUGGUGGGAAAUUUGUAUUGGCUUCUAUUUCUUUACAUUACUAUGCUAAAAUAUUUUGUGCAUUUGCAUUGUUUUAUUGGCCUUUGCAGUUUAAGCCCCCCCCCACACACACACCCGCACACAUCAUAAACAUUCUUACACACUCAUGACAUAUAGUUUCACACACAAUUCCCAUUUUUAAUAGUUAAUAAAACCAAUAGAUCGAUUCACUUGAGAAUUUGAGAAUUCACAGGUCAGUUUGUUUGGCUACAUAUCCCAGAAAAGUAUAGGACACAUUGGCAUUUAGUGGAGAGCAAUAUGACACCCCGUUCUACUCUCUCCUCUUUUGUUUCAUUUUGUUGUGGCUGGAUUUAGCAGCACUGAUGAGUUGAAGAUUGAACACAAAGAGAGAGCAGACCCCUACAUCCUUCUUACAAUACGUCCACCAUCAUCAUCACAGAGAGAGGGGGAAAGUUAUCAUCUCAGGAUAGAAAGACAGGAGAAGAUGGCUUUAAGAAAGCAUUGAAGUGAGGUAGAAUUAGUGAGGUAAUCUUCUCAAGUUGUCAGCGGACAUAAGGCAGCUAUAUGUAAAUGUAAGAGGUGGCAAGUUAAAGCGCGAGUGUGUGUGUGUCCCCGCAAAGAGAAGGGUUUUAAGUCGGGACGUCUUACUUUGAUCUUUUCCACUUCUCCGUACCACCUCACCCCUCCUCUGUACUUCUUUUUCUUUUUUUUACCUCCUUGUAAGAAAAUCAAGGCCUAUUAACCCUAAUCUCACUUAAUGGCAUCUACCUCUCCUUUUGUCCCGGGCGAUGGGCAACAGACUCCUUCCAUUCAGCCUCUCGCCCUCUUUCACGCGCCUGGCCGAACUAAUCCCCUUUUGCCUCAGGGCCGAUUACUCCUCGUAUUUUAUCAUUAUUCUUAUGAUUAUAAUCUGCAUUCUCAUUCACGCACCCUUAUCCACAAGCUGGAAUUGCUUUCCCCCCUCUUUCAUGGUCUGUUCAUUUUGCCCUGAGAUUGAAAGAAUUGCUUCUUUUACUCAACCACCCAGCCUGCAUGUCAGAGUUUGGUUGCUGGAGAGGGUGUUGUUCGUAAUUUCGGUAAGUGAACUCUUUUGGUGGAAACACAUUUUCUGGGCGUUUGAAUAUGUUGUUCACAGAGAGCAAUGAAUGGCGCCACACCGGCCCAUGUAAACGCAUUUACCUCGACAAGCAGCGGACGAGGGAGUGAAUUAAAGAGACAGUGAAGAUGGAAAAAGAGGGUGGAGUAAUUAUUGUGGGUGCCGGUUUUGAUGUGGGGUUUGUUUGGGAAGCUGUAUGGGGGUCUGUGGUGGGGUAAAAGAAAGGCUUCGUCCUUGUAUUGCCAAAAAGGGUGCACUAUUAAUUAUUUCAAUCCUUUUGGAUGUAGGCA